AGAAAAUAUGAAACAGGGUCGUGUUGAGUGAUUCAGGUGUAAACAGAUGAUGCUUGUGCUUUGUAGUGAUGGAUGAUGAAGCUUUUCUAGCUCAGCAAGGCAUGAAGGUGUCCAAACCACAAGCUGCCAUUGUUGUAUGCUUGAAGAUGCAGAACGAAAGGGAAGGUUCAGCUGGGAUUUUUUUGCUCGAAUAAGCCUACAAAUGCUAUCUAGAUGAUGGAACCAUGAAGAAAGUUCGAAGGUUUUUGAGAGUUCUAUGCAGGAAUUCUG
rnacentral:lncRNA from 1 species